rnacentral:rRNA from 1 species
GACGAACGCUGGCGGCGUGCUUAACACAUGCAAGUCGAACGGAAAGGCCCUGCUUUUGUGGGUUGCUCGAGUGGCGAACGGGUGAGUAACACGUGAGUAUCCUGCCCUUGACUUUGGGAUAACUUCAGGAAACUGGGGCUCAUACCGGAUAGGAGCUCCUGCUGCAUGGUGGGGGUUGGAAAGUUUCGGCGGUUGGGGAUGGACUCGCAGCUUAUCAGCUUGUUGGUGGGGUAGUUGCUUACCAAGGCUUUGACGGGUAGCCGGCCUGAGAGGGUGACCGGCGACAUGGGGACUAAGAUACGGCGCAGAAUCCUACGGGAGGCAGCAGUGGGAAGUAUUGCACAAUGGGCGGAAGCCUGAUGCAGCAACGCCGCGUGCGGGAUGACGGCCUUCGGGUUGUAAACCGCUUUCGCCUGUGACGAAGAGUGAGUGACGGUAAUGGGUAAAGAAGCAACGGCUAACUACGUG